UUCUUUCCAUUGACUGAUGUUGUUUUAACAGGACCAAACAGAUCAAUGUGAAGAAGAAAAUAGAGAUUGUGUAGUGAUAAGAAAAUAGAGAUUUAGGUUUGUCAUUAGUGGAAGAUUUAUCUUCUCUAGGGUCAUACCCAAUUCCUCUUUUAUUGUUCUGACUAACCCCAUAAAUCAUGGAUGUCAUUCUGCUUCUCUCUAUCCCAUUCUUCA
rnacentral:lncRNA from 1 species